CUAAGUUUAUAAUUUCACUCAGCGUAAAAAUUUGACGAGGGUAGGGUAGGGUCGUGUUUGCAUCAUUUUCUUUGAAGAUAUUCAAAGGUUGCAGCAGAAUCACUUGGUAUUCCGAUGCACCCUCUCCAAGGUUACGUUUCAAUGCAGAGUAAAAGGCGCUGGAUGUGUUCGUGUUCAUUCUAAGCUCGCAUACAAACACUAAACUUUUUUUGUAUCUGCCAAUGAAUUUGAGGUUUUCAUGAGUUUUUUAGAGAAGCUAGUGAUUCCGCAAAGGAUGAUAAUAAAUUCGCUUGAAAGGAGAGGGGAAAAGAUGACUGUAAUCUUUACGGGAGGAGGUAUCCCAAAGAAUAUUUGAGGUGAACAUUAAUGAGAUGAAUAAAUUUU